GACGAACGCUGGCGGCGUGCUUAACACAUGCAAGUCGAACGGGAUUUAGUAAACAGAAGCCUCAGUGGAAGAUUACUAAUGAGAGUGGCGAACGGGUGAGUAACGCGUGAGCAACCUGCCUAUGACAGUGGGAUAGCCUCGGGAAACCGGGAUUAAUACCGCAUAAAAUCGUAGAAACACAUGUUUUAACGGUCAAAGAUUUAUCGGUCAUAGAUGGGCUCGCGUCUGAUUAGCUAGUUGGUGAGAUAACAGCCCACCAAGGCGACGAUCAGUAGCCGGUCUGAGAGGAUGAACGGCCACAUUGGAACUGAGACACGGUCCAAACUCCUACGGGAGGCAGCAGUGGGGAAUAUUGCACAAUGGGGGAAACCCUGAUGCAGCGACGCCGCGUGAACGAAGAAGGUAUUCGUAUCGUAAAGUUCUGUCCUAUGGGAAGAUAAUGACAGUACCAUAGAAGAAAGCUCCGGCUAAAUACGUG
rnacentral:rRNA from 1 species